rnacentral:misc_RNA from 1 species
GCAUUAUACCAAAAUAAAAAUGGAAAUAUUAGCUGAGGGAAGCUUACAAUAGAAUAUUACAAUACAAUUUUACGACGACUUGAAAUACAAACCAAAUCCAAGUUUACAAUAUUCACCCCUUGAAUGUCUCAUGACCAGAAUGAAUAAAUCAUACAAUUUAUUAAGCAAAGAUCCAUCUGCAUAACAAUGAGUAAUGACCCUCUCUUUCCAUUCAUAACUCAUUUUUUCUAGAGGGGAGAACUGUAAUGGAGGAGGCCCUCCCACUGAACCAUAUGGAUUAAGUAGGGCACUGUUGGCAAUUGAAAUUAUGAACAGUACAUGAGGAAAACGGAUUCAGAGUUGGCAAAACCAUCAGCCCUGUUGGAUUCCACUCGGCCAUGUCUGGUUCUUGACAGGGCUAAGAAUCGCCUCAACUUCGGCUAGUGUUUCUUGAUCCUUCCCAAAUGUAGCAAGUUCUAGGGCAGCAGUAACAUUUUCCUCAACCUGAUCAUUGAAAAGCUUUGUAUCACUAACAUGCCAAAAUACAAGUUCGGCUCAAGCUCAAAUCAAUAACAAAUCUCUUAAGCAUAAAAAUUUUGCUCAAGAUCAAAGCAGAAUUCUCUUGCAUAAAGCAUAAAGGUUUUUUGGCAGUUAAUCUCAUUCUGGAUGUCAAUGCCAUUAGUAUAAACUUGCACUCCAUUAUCCAAUAACAACAGUAAACAUAAGAAUUUGGAUAACAGUUCGUGUAAAAAUGAGUACUAGUCAAUCAGGCAGCUUCUUUUCAUAUCUCAAACAUACAAGCGUUUGAGCAGGUCACAAAGCACUCAUUCUAGCUUAUAAUAUCUACAGAAAUAGAGCUGCUACAUCUAAAAAAGAUAAUGAUAAUGUGCAAGAUCACACCAUUAAAGUAGUGAUUAGUGAACAUGAGACAGGAGAGUCAGUCAAAGUAAAGUAUUUUUGACUUUGUAGUCUUAGUUCCCAAGAAACAGGUUGAACACUAUCAAAGUAUUAGAAAAUGUGAAGCAUACAAAACUGUAUUUAACAGUUGCAUAUCAAAGAAAAUGUAGCAAUUAAGGCAAACUAUGCAUGAUAACCUGUCCAACAGAGUUCAUGCCAACCAGCACUGUAGAGAUAUCCUUGUUCGAUAAACUGUAUUGCAGUGCUAACUUGGUAAUACUCUUUCCCUUCUCUUUACAAUAGGCAGCAGCAGCUUGGCAUUUAGACUGGAGGGGAGAACAGACAAAUCACAUCUUAUCAUGAUUAAUUAAAUUUGCCAAAAGAAUACAUCUUAAAGCAAGCAAAAAAUGAAUGCAUUUGAAAAUAUCUUAUAGAUUAGACAUAUGAUGUGGCAGCCCUCUGCACCUGUUAGCCCAUGAAUAACGGUGAUUAGUCUUUCAAUUGUUGACCUAGUGAAAUGCUCAAGGUAGAACCCUUUCAUUAAUAGGGGAGUAGGCACCUUAUCAAGUGCACGUCCAAGUUCUGAGUUAGAGUGUUCUGAUGAGAUCCAUAUUGAACAACAUAAUCUCAGAUCUUGGCUAUUCAGUGAGCAACAGUUCUUUAUCCCAUAAAAGAACAAAAUACAAGUUCUAGUUGCCUAGCUCUAGACCCUGAAAAAUUCCAAAGUGAGCAAGGGGCAUUAUUUGGAAGACAACUAUAUGCCAUGUAAAAACUCAAUAUUCAUGAUUACAAACUCAGUUUCCCCUAAUUUGCACCAAGGAAGCUCUAAGAUUGAUCAGUGCGUAAUUGUCAGCUUAAAGAACAGUGAGAAUACGCAUGGGUGGACGAGAAAGAGCAUACAGAGUGGAAGUGGAUGGAUGCACCAUCAGCGUGAACGCAUAGAUGCAUGCCUAUUAAAUUCAUGAUCCAGAGGCACAAACACACCUCUUGUUGAGAUAAUGCUGCCUAACCAGACUUUUUGCUGGCAAAAUGUCCUUUGAUAUAAGCAGCACUGUAAUGAAGAUGACAUGGGAUGGGAAGAAAACAUCAUAGAUCAUUGCAGGGUGAUAAGGUGAACCUUUAGCUCAGGAGAAGCAGGGUGCCACUCUGGAGGACCAUUCUCUGUAAGGAGUCCCAUUGCAAGUGGAGAAGCACUAAUUAUACCUACACUUUUGCUCUUCAAGUAUGGAAGUAAAUCCACCAGUGUUGAAUCAUUAAUACUGUAGUGGCAAUAAGAGAGAAUCACAUCAACUGUACCAGAUGGUACUCGAUCGAGCACAUAAGUAAAGAUUCCUAGAGGGAGUCCAGUUAUCCCAAUAAAACGGAUCUUCCCCGCCUCCUUUAGUUUCUGAAGGGCAGGAAUUGUUUCAUUCACAAUCUGCCAUUGGAACCACUAAUAGAGAAUCAUGAGAAUAUUUUCUACCUAUUACAUUUAUAAUAUAAUCUCAAGUAAAUAAACUGAGAGAGAACAAUAACAAAAGACUAAGCAGAAAUUUUAAUCUAUGACCUGGUCAAGAGACCCAAACUCAAUGUCAUGGCAUUGCAAUAUAUCAACGUAGUCCAAUUGCAACCUCUCCAAACUCUCAUCAAUGCUCCUAGUUACUCUUUCAGCACUAAAAUCAAAGCCCUCUUUAUACCGCCCACACUUUGUUGACACGACAUAUUCAUUUCUAGGAACUCCUAGGGCUUUAAGUCCCUUACCAAGCAUCUUCUCUGACAAUGUUCCUCCAUAAUACGGAGAGGUAUCGAAGAAAUUGAUGCCCCGGCGGAAGGCUUCACGAACGGAGGCGACGGCGUCGUCCUCGGAUACAGGGCCGAAGACACUGCCAAGAGGGGAUGCCCCAAAACCCACAGAGCUGAUCUUGAGCCCUGUGUUUCCCAAGGGUCGGAGCUCCAUCGGAUUGGGGGUACGUUUGACUUUGAGAAGUGAGAAAGAGAUUGGAUGUUUGCUUUGCGGGAAAAUAUAAAAUGGGAUGGUGAGAAAGGAAAUAAGCGGACACCAGAGAAUCCAACAGUGACAACAGAAGCUCUG